GAAAUGCGAUACGCAAUGCGAAUUGCAGAAUUCCGCGAAUCAUCAGAUUCUUGAACGCAACUGGCGCUGGAGGGAUAUCCUUCCAGCAUGUCUGUUUCAGUGUCUGAAAACAUCCUAAAUCAUUCUAAUGUGUUUGACAAGGAAUAAAUUAUAUAUAUCAAUUGAUAUUAUAUUUAUGAUCCAAGUCUUACAUGAAAGAUGUAUGUGUGGGUCUUUGGAUCCAUCGAAUUGGUCAUCGAUUUCUUCGGUGAUUUCGAUUGGAUAUUCACCAAUUACUCGUAUACACAUAGAAUAAACAUAUAUAUAUUUAUUUAUAGAUAUAUAUAACAUACUUUAUCAUCUGCAUCUGAAAUCAGGCAAGAAAACCCGCUGAACUUAAGC
rnacentral:misc_RNA from 1 species